CACAUUAGCACUCUCAUCCUUAGGAAGGGUAAUGCGGAAACUCAUGUAAUUUCGACACUUGGUAAGAGACGGUCUUAUUUAAUUUUAAUGAAUUAAAUGUUUAAAUAUGAUAUUCUUAUUGAGUUUACUGAUGCACAUUUGUUUCUAGAGUUCUUUCUAUUCAUGAUGAUACUUUGCUGUAUGAAACGCAAACGUAGGCAUACCAGUCUUACAAACGAAGCCAGAUCCUCCAUAAGUAAAUCUUGCACUCUUUCUCGCAACGUAGUUGACCUUCUAUGGUUAUUUUGUAAAUGCGAUAAAACUCUCAUUGACUAACUAGAAAUUAACGUAAAACAUAAUUGACUUCUCAGCAUUCACGUGACGCCGAUUAAUUUGGAAUUACUGAAACAUCUUAGCAUAGGCCUUUUGUUGGCGCUUCUUAUAAUCUUUUUUCUUUUGACGAAUUUCUGCAAGCUUCUUUGAAAUUGCAGGAUCGUUACCAGCCUUAGCAAGUGCUUUCUCUGAUUCUUCAAAAUUCUUCAAGAGACCUUGAGCACAACCCAAACGAUAGUAUGCUUUCUGUUUCUCUAACUCAGUAGAGUUACUGGCCUCAAUUACAAUGUUGGCGUUUCGAAUAGCUUCCUGAGGUUUGUUCUGCUUCAAAGCUACAAGGGCAAGGUUUGCGUAUAUGCUGUAUCGUAAAGCAUUAUACUCUUUCCAGAAAUCAGGGGAUUCCUUAGAGUCAUCGUUGGGAACAGGGUAUUCCAUUAGGUAGCGCAAAGCUUUUUGCCAUUUGGCAACGGCUGUAUCCAAAUUUUGCUGAGCAAAUUGCUUGUUAGCAAUUCCCUUUAAGUCGCUAGCAAUUUUGAAAAUGGCAGUCUCGGACUUAUCACCCUCGUAAUCAUCAGGAAAUUCUUCCAGAGAAUCACCAGUAACGUCUGGCUUUGGUGCCUCAAUCUGAUCCUUUGUGCAAGUUCCACAUUCUUCAAUAACAACAGGUACAACCGGAUCGUCAUUUUUGGUCUCCAAAUUUUCAAUGGUACGAACAGUAGAUUUUCCUUGAAUUACCUUGCCAAAAACAACAUGCUUUCCAUCCAAAUGAGGGGUGGGAACAGUAGUAAUGAAGAACUGAGAUCCAUUGGUAUUAGGGCCGGCAUUGGCCAUGGAAAGCAAGAAAGGCUUAUCAUGCUUGAGCUCAAAGUUCUCGUCCUCAAACUUCUCGCCGUAGAUGCUUUCUCCACCCGUUCCAUUACCACGAGUAAAGUCACCACCUUGAAGCAUAAAGUUCUUAAUUACUCGAUGGAACCUUGAACCUUUGUAGGUUAAACAACGGCCAUCCUUCUCAAACCCAUUACACAACGAAGCAAAGUUUUUGACAGUUUUGGGAACUACGUUGUCGAAAAGUUCAAAGUAGAUUGUUGGUUGAAUUUUACCAUCAAUGCUAAUUUUAAAAUAGGCGUAAGUACUCAUUUCGUGCAAAAAAAAACAAUGAUCGUUUUUAAGUAAUGAUAUUUCACUGCCAGUCUCCUCAGUGUAUUCACACCACAAAGUUGCUUUAAGAAGAAGAAUGAAUAGCGAUUUUACGCAGACGAAAUAUACAGAUCUGUGCAAACUAUUUAGUUUUAGUUAUUAAAAAGGUGGUGAUUUAUAUUUGCAACCUACUGCGAAGAGAUUUUCUACGAAACUUCUAGAAACAUACUGUAUUAAAAAAAUGCUAGCAGAAGAAAAUUUGACUUUUUAUUAGACCAAAAAAUAUU